rnacentral:lncRNA from 1 species
AUUUUCAUAAUAUAUCUAAUCAAUUACUUGAUGGGAUUUUUUUCUAGUUGCAUAGAACUCUGAAGACAUUUCUUUGAAUUAAGGAAAAUAGAAACGCCACACAGUUCAUUUUUGGAUAUCAAGGGUUUCACAUAUCGAAGCAGAAAACAUUGAGAAAUUUGCCCUAAAUUCAAGGUUAAAAGGAGCUUUUUCCAUUGCCCUGCUUUCAGCCAGAUUAUAUGUAUGAAAUAGUUCUUGGCAGGUUAGAAUAGAGGAAUUAUUGAAAACCUAAAAGAAAGAAGCCACACGUUUUAAUAUGAAAAUUUAGUACUUUCAAGAUGUAUUACCUUGUCACAUUGUUUAGAGAGUUUGACCAAAAAAUACAGAAGAGAUUUUUAAUUUGUAAUAAACUAGAAUUGGUAUGGUCAGUAUAUUUUCUCCAUAUUGGUAAAUAUUUCAGGUAUAUUGCUGUCAUUAAAAAGGCAAUGUUCAUAGUAUGAAAUUCUUUGAGCUAAACUUAAGUCUCAUUAGUAAUAAUUAUUUAUUGCAGAGGGAAGCUUAUCUAACACAUGGAAUGAAAAGUACAGUUCUUUACAAAAAACACCUGUUUGGAAAGGCAGGAAUACAGCCUCUGCUGUGGAAAUGCCUUUUAGAAAUUCAAAACGAAGUCGACUCUUUUCUGAUGAAGAUGACAGACAAAUAAAUACGAGGUCACCAAAAAGAAACCAGAGAGUUGCCAUGGUUCCACAGGUAUGUGUGUGCUAAAAUUUUUGAUUCAUUGAAAGGAAGUGAGCAAUUGCUCAGCAUAAUGAAGUUUAUAUUUAUUAUUCUAUUACAUUUUGAGUAACAAGUUCUUUUCUUUAAAUCAGUGCUCCAGCUCAGCUCCUAUUUUAGUUACCUAGAAAAGGCCAUUAUCUUAUUAAUGGACUUUAAACCAGAGUAGAAAGCCAAUCCUCGGUCUUACAAUGCUUGCUUUUAAGCAUGGAGACAGUGGACAUUAAGCAAAUGGAUUUGGCUAUAUGGAAUCAGUUUGGAGUUUUGCGUGGAAAUGAAAGGGGAAAAACAUUUAUUUUAUCACUGAAGGAAAUAUAUCGAAGACUUCCUUUAUCCAAAAGAGGAAAAUACAUAGCGUGGUAUCAUAUCUUGUUUUUCCUUUUUGGUAUAUUUUAAAAAAAUAAUAGUGGUCAUGUGAGAAUCAAAGGAAUGAAUGAAAAUUGGGUAAGGAAAUAUUGACUUUAAGAAUAACGUGAUUUUUCUCCUAUCAAAUUUAUAAUUUUUGAUAUAAUUAUUCCCUACUUCCCUUUCAUUUUUUUCCCAAAAGUGUUAUAAGAUUUUCCAGUAGGAUGGAUCAUAAUAGAGGUGAUUUUCUCAACCAAGGAUUUGGCCUCAAAUAAAUUAAAGGUAUGA